AGAGAGAGACAUGCGCGCAUAUCAAUAAGCGGAGGAAAAGAAACUAACAAGGAUUCCCCUAGUAACGGCGAGUGAAGCGGGAAGAGCUCAAAUUUGAAAUCUUCAAGGUUCUACCUUGACGAAUUGUAGUUUAAAGAAGUGUUUUCUGUUGGAAUUUUGGUAAAAGUUCUUUGGAAAAAGACAUCAAAGAGGGUGAGAAUCCCGUAUUUGACCAUUAUUUCUAGCUUUGUGAUACACUUUCAACGAGUCGGAUUGUUUGGGAAUGCAGUCCAAAAUGGGUGGUAAAUUUCAUCUAAAGCUAAAUAUUGGCGAGAGACCGAUAGCGAACAAGUACCGUGAGGGAAAGAUGAAAAGAACUUUGAAAAGAGAGUUAAACAGUACUGUGAAAUUGUCAAAAGGGAAGCGUUUGACACCAGUGUUGUUUUCUCGGAAAUCAAUUAAAAAUGGCCGGAUUUUGUGUUGUAUUGACUUUAUCAGCUUUCUGCACUUUUUUCUUGUCUUUUUUAAUGCACUUUUCGUUUAACAAGUCAACAUCAAUUUCUUUUGUUGUAAAAGGGUCAUUGGAAGGUGGCUUUCUUUUCGGAGAAAGUGUUUAUAGCCUUUGGCCUCUGCAAUCGGAGAGAUUGAGGUCUGCAGCGUAGAUCCUUCGGGGUUAGAUGCAUUUGUGCUAAGUUAUAGCCUUUCAUAGACAACUUGUUGACUAUGAUCAGUCAUGUAGCUUACUCGCUUAUGUCAUUUUACCUACGCUUAGGAUGUUGACAGCAGUAUAGACUGU
rnacentral:rRNA from 1 species